rnacentral:rRNA from 1 species
UACGAAGGGGGCGAGCGUUGUUCGGAUUUACUGGGCGUAAAGGGCGCGCAGGCGGCGAGUUUUGUCAGGCGUGAAAGCCCCGGGCUCAACCUGGGAAUUGCGCUUGAAACGGGCUUGCUAGAGAUCGGGAGAGGAGAGUGGAAUUCCCAGUGUAGAGGUGAAAUUCGUAGAUAUUGGGAAGAACACCAGUGGCGAAGGCGGCUCUCUGGACCGAUACUGACGCUGAGGCGCGAAAGCGUGGGGAGCAAACAGG